UUAAAAAUUCGUGUGCUAGUUUUAUAAAUUACUACGCCAUUCUUAGUCCGUGGUGGCCAUAUUUCAUUUCAUAAAUCCUUGUUGAGUUUAACGUUAAAUGACUACAUCAAGCCGGUAGGCAGGGGGGGGGGGUUCGGGUGGUUCGAACGAACCCCCCCUCACUGCCAAAAGGUCCAGAAUUUAAGUCGUUUUUUCGCUUGAUUAUUGUCAUCAUUGUUUUAAUCAAUGCUUGUGACAAAUAUUCUGGGUUCCUGUUUCAAAUUAAUAUGAUACAUUAUUGAAGCUGAACGCAUGAUUUCUGUCAUUUUCUGAUGCUCGUUUUAUUUGACUCAACGCUCAGCGCUCGUUUGACUUCUGGCUGCGCAGACCGAUCGGCAUGUGACGUCUUAGCACCGCGAGACCGAUUCAAUAGUAAAUGACUCAGUAUGCUUUUAAAUAGAUCUCGCGGUAGUGUGGUGUCACAAGCCAACAGGUCUGAGCUGCACCCCGUUAAGUAAGAUAAAGUCAAAAUUAUUCCGAGAUGACCAAUAAAAUCAGACCAGGCAGACAGAGGUGCAACACAGGGGUCAGAUGCGCAGUUAGUGGAAGUGCAAGAAAGAUGCCAUCAUAUAUGCCCUGUCUGUCCUCCGGAAUUGAUCAUUACAGGAGGCUGAGCGGGUCUUCCUUUCUGGUCCAAAAUAUGAUUACAGUGAAUGGGAAGAAUUUAAUCGAAAGAUUGAAAAACAAUUGAGGAAAGAAGGGAGAUCAUUCAAUUGAGUUCAAGCCUGCAACCAUUCUUUAAUUGCAGCAGCUGAUGGAUUGGUUGCAUUGUUAUUGGUUGCAUUGUUUGUUGCAAUGUUACUGGUAAAAUCACAUGUAAAUAUAUAGAUAUAUACAUAUAAAUAUACAUUCUU